UGGGAACCUUCCUUAUGGUUCGGAAUAGCUCAGGGAAACUUGGGGUAAUACCGGAUAAGCCCUUCGGGGGAAAGAUUUAUCGCCAUUGGAUGGGCCCGCGUCGGAUUAGCUAGUUGGUGAGGUAACGGCUCACCAAGGCAACGAUCCGUAGCUGGUCUGAGAGGAUGAUCAGCCACACUGGGACUGAGACACGGCCCAGACUCCUACGGGAGGCAGU
rnacentral:rRNA from 1 species